rnacentral:rRNA from 1 species
AUUGAACGCUGGCGGCAUGCCUUACACAUGCAAGUCGAACGGCAGCACGGGAGCAAUCCUGGUGGCGAGUGGCGAACGGGUGAGUAAUAUAUCGGAACGUGCCCAGUCGUGGGGAUAACGUAGCGAAAGCUACGCUAAUACCGCAUACGAUCUAUGGAUGAAAGCGGGGGAUCGCAAGACCUCGCGCGAUUGGAGCGGCCGAUAUCAGAUUAGGUAGUUGGUGAGGUAAAGGCUCACCAAGCCGACGAUCUGUAGCUGGUCUGAGAGGACGACCAGCCACACUGGGACUGAGACACGGCCCAGACUCUUACGGGAGGCAGCAGUGGGGAAUUUUGGACAAUGGGCGCAAGCCUGAUCCAGCAAUGCCGCGUGCA